rnacentral:rRNA from 1 species
CCUACGGGUGGCUGCAGUGGGGAAUAUUGGACAAUGGGGGCAACCCUGAUCCAGCCAUGCCGCGUGUGUGAAGAAGGCCCUCGGGUUGUAAAGCACUUUCAGUGAGGAAGAACGCCUGGUGGUUAAUACCCAUCAGGAAAGACAUCACUCACAGAAGAAGCACCGGCUAACUCCGUGCCAGCAGCCGCGGUAAUACGGAGGGUGCGAGCGUUAAUCGGAAUUACUGGGCGUAAAGCGCGCGUAGGUGGCUUGAUAAGCAGGUUGUGAAAGCCCCGGGCUCAACCUGGGAACGGCAUCCGGAACUGUCAAGCUAGAGUGCAGGAGAGGAAGGUAGAAUUCCCGGUGUAGCGGUGAAAUGCGUAGAGAUCGGGAGGAAUACCAGUGGCGAAGGCGGCCUUCUGGACUGACACUGACACUGAGGUGCGAAAGCGUGGGUAGCAAACAGGAUUAGAUACCCUGGUAGUC